ensembl:snoRNA small nucleolar RNA SNORA2/SNORA34 family
CUGGCCCUGAAUCAAGGCCGGCAGCUUCCUGACACUGUUGGUUUUAAACAGGAGCCAAGAGAGAUGUCUUUUUUCUUUGGUCUGUUGGCCAUUUCAGAACUUGGGCAGUGAAAUGAUCAAUUCAUUAGAAAAAAACAGCA